AUUGAACGCUGGCGGCAGGCCUAACACAUGCAAGUCGAACGAGUGGCGGACGGGUGAGUAAUGUCUGGGAAACUGCCUGAUGGAGGGGGAUCACUACUGGAAACGGUAGAUAAUACCGCAUACCCUCGGAUGUGCCCAGAUGGGAUUAGCUAGUAGGUGGGGUAACGGCUCCCCUAGGCGACGAUCCCUAGCUGGUCUGAGAGGAUGACCAGCCCACCUGGAACUGAUACACGGUCCAGACUCUUACGGGAGGCAGCAGUGGGAAAUAUUGCACAAUGGGCGCAAGCCUGAUGCAGCCAUGCCGCGUGUAUGAAGAAGGCCUUCGGGUUGUAAAGUACUUUCAGCGGGGAGGCGUUACCCGCAGAAGAAGCACCGGCUAACUCCGUGCCAGCAGCCGCGGUAAUAC
rnacentral:rRNA from 1 species